GAAAGAUUUUGGUUAUUGAAUUAUAUCUAAUUAGUCCCUUGUUGGUUUGUUUAAGAAUAGGGCUCCUGACAGAGACCAGACCGAAGGAAGGUUUUAAGCUCUUCGAUCAGUUUCUUGGGAAGAAUUGUUUAGAAUUUUUUCAAUCUCUGCUUAUGCUUUUAAGCAUGUACACCAAGACACAUAACACAAAUGUCUAUAUGUUUAUCAUUGUUUUGUCUGCUUGUAGGACUGAUUCUGAUUUCUAGGAAAGAAAAAAAAAAAACAUGUAGAAAGGAUCACACUGCUUUGUUUAAAAACUAGGUAGAAAAAUUCCUAUGCAUUUUUCGGAACUUAGGGAAUGUAUUUCGGAAUAUGGAGCAUUCGCCCUUGGUAGCUUAAGUCGUAUCAGAAGAAUCCAAAUUCAAUAGGCUACCCUUCCGGGUUUAGGAAUUGACAUAAACUGUUGACAUACUCAAAUUAAGACAAAUGUAUAUUAGCAUAUUUAGGGAUAUUCAAACAUAUUACAAUAUUGCCACCUUAACCUCUAUAAAUAAUUUCACUGGGUCAUGAUGGAAGCACUCCUGAAAUAUAAUUCCGUUGCUUCAUUUUGUUAUGACUGUUACACACAAAGGACUACAACACAUUUACCUGCCUGUUUUGUAUAUUUCACAUCACUUAACAAACAGAAACGUGGGAAUUGGCAAUUGUAUUAUUAUGUAUAUUGAAGUUUCUCAGUACAUCUAAUGAGGCCCCUGCAGUAUUCCAAACUUGACUGGUAACAUAUAAGGAGAGCUUGCAUGCUUGUUUAUGUAGAGGGAAAGUUUUGUGUAUGUGCCCCAGAAUACUCUUUUAAAAAGUGUCUCUUGAAAUGCGUGUACUUAGUACACUGGUCAAUUUCUUCCUGGAAAUGCAAUAGAUUAGUGCAUUAUCUUUGUGGUGCACCUAAUCUACCAUUUAUUUCAAUAAUCCAGUUAAUAUUUUUGCAUGACAGGUAAUCUAUUUUAGAAAGGUUUGUUUUGAAGCUAGAAUGUAAUAAGCAUGAAUCAAACUCCAUUAAAGCAGUGCAGGUCCUAUAAGUAAGAGCAAAGGGAAAUAAAAUCACGAUUCGCUUAAAACUUGAUUGUAUAAUAAGGAGUUAUAUCUAGUCCUGUGCAUUGAUAUUCAAUGAAAACUAGAUAGCUACAGUUUGCAUACGUAACAUGGACAGUUUAAAUAAGAAACAUAGAGUACUUAACACUAGCAGUUGAUGCCAUUUGUUAAUUCUUAAAACAAAAUAAUCAAAACCAAGACCCUGGGUGCUCAGCCGUCAACAUAACGCAUUAAUUAUCGUUUUGAUUUAUGAGCAGAGAGAAAUGUAAAGGAUUUUAUUGAUAGUUUCCAUACCAUAGUUAUUUGUUGCAACAUAUAUUAUAAGGUUCACUUGCUCAUUGACAUUUGUCACCAAGGUCACCAUUAGUGAUGUCAGGCUGGCCCAAGUGGCAGAAUUAAGCCUCAAAUACAUGAGCAGCUAAAUUAAUAAAAACAGGCAUAUAUUGGAAAUUUCAACAAUAUUGGUUGCAUCAUAUUAAAUCAUGAUGAUUAUUUUCUUCAGUAGUAUCUCUGAACUGAAAUAAUAUAGGUUCCACUUUGAUAUCAAAAGGUAUGAAAAUAUAGGAAAAUUUCCACUUUUGAACCAUAGUGAAUAUCUGAUACUAAUAAUAACAUGAAAUAAUAUUAGAGGAAUUUACCUGUAGGACAGAAUCUGCAACAGUAAAAACCAAGUGUAAUAUAUAGCCCUAGAAGUCAGGUGAUUGUACCAAAACCUAAUGAUAAGCUUGCAGCCAUGUACUAGGUCUUUAAAAAUCCCUUUAGACAUAUUGGCACACUAUCAAAAGUCCCUUUCUAGAAAUAGUGUUCCAAAUUCUAUGGCCAUCCACAUUUGCUAAUGUAACAUGAUCAGCAUUACUGCUUUGUUAGGAUAAUCAUAAUAUCAAAGAUUUAAUCAGGGAAUAUACAUUUAGGUUUUGGCUGUAUCCCAAGUACAUCCUGGGAAUAAAAAAUGUCUUGCAAGAUUAUUUGGCUAAUUAAAGGAUAGCAGGAUUUGUAUUAGUAUGCUUACUUAAUUCUCUAGGUUUAAAAAUAUGUAUUUGUGAGGUGUGAAAAAUUAAAUUAAAUGUAUAAAUCCAAAACACUCUUUCAGCAACUGGGUUCCAACAUAUGGGCUCCCUUUUAAUCAUUGUUGUAUGCUCUGUCCUGCAUUUAGCAUAAAAAAUGCCUACAACGUUUGUAUUUUUCCAUAACGUUUACAAUGUGUGCCUUGAUCAGGAGCACAACUACGGCAAGCGCGGCCACUGCAAUGGCUCCAAAGCCCACCAGAGUUUAGAAGUCCACUCUUGGGCCACUUUUUGGUGAAUCUAAUGUGGGAAUAGACAGGGUUCAUAAGCAAGCAAAAUCUACUUUGGACAGGGAGAGCAUUAAUUGUCAGGAAAAUAUGGCAGUCCAAAUUGGGGAGGGAGAGUACUAACUGGCGUUCGGACGUAGACUUGGUUAUCUUGCAGUGGCAAGUGAGGAUAUUUCUAUGGAAUUAGAGAUGGUAGGGGGCCACCAAAAAGUCUUGCACUGGGGCCCUUUGUUAGUUUAUUCCACUACUAGCCUUGACUGUGCCUUGGUAGAACUGGAAUGUGAUGCCACUCACUAAGUCUUUAAAGAGAGUCUAAACCUCUACAGCUUAAUGUGUUGGUUCUGGUGUCUAGUGCUUGUCCCUGCAGACUGAGCAUUGUAAACACUGCCUUUUCUACUGCUCAGAAAGCCACAAGAGGCACUUCUUGAGUUUGGUUCUGCAAAGAUUGUAGGACUCACAUUUUGUAUCUCCACGCUCUGCAUGAGGCGCUAAACUCUCCCCUUAUAUUAUAUAUUAUAUUAUAUAGUAUUGACUAAAUUAAACUCUAUGAGGAGAUGCUGGAUGGUGCAUUGCAGUAAUUUCCCAUGCAUGCACACUAGCUUCCCUAUAGGGAAUUAAUCAUUUCAGUCUGGGGGUCAAGCCAACUGUACAGAGACUAAAUUGCUUUUUUUAUUUCAUUAGACAGGAUGGGUAAGUUCUAGUUACUAGAACACCAUAGCAUUAGGAAUACUUGUUUGUAUUCCUAACGCUAUAGUGUUUCUUUAAUAUAAAUUUAAAAUAAAAUGGAGCACCAGAUGGAAUAAGGUUAAGAGAAGUAAUUUUCAAUGUUUUAAAUUGUUCACUUAAUUCAGCUUUAAAAUGUUCAAAUAAUCACAUAACAAUAUAAUAGUAUCUCCAAAUUAUUUCAGCAGGUAGGAUAUAUUUAGUUUUUGCUAGUUCCCACUAUCUUUAAAGGUUAUCUAUUAAUCUUUUAUCAGUGUACUUGAAAAUGCAGUAAAGUAAUAAAAGUCAGCUGAUUGUACUAG